rnacentral:rRNA from 1 species
GACGAACGCUGGCGGCGUGCUUAACACAUGCAAGUCGAACGGAAAGGCCCUGCUUUUGUGGGGUGCUCGAGUGGCGAACGGGUGAGUAACACGUGAGUAACCGGCCCUUGACUUUGGGAUAACUUCAGGAAACUGGGGCUAAUACCGGAUAGGAGCUCCUGCUGCAGGGUGGGGGUUGGAAAGUUUCGGCGGUUGGGGAUGGACUCGCGGCUUAUCAGCUUGUUGGUGGGGUAGUGGCUUACCAAGGCUUUGACGGGUAGCCGGCCUGAGAGGGUGACCGGCCACAUUGGGACUGAGAUACGGCCCAGACUCCUACGGGAGGCAGCAGUGGGGAAUAUUGCCCAAUGGGCGGAAGCCUGAUGCAGCAACGCCGCGUGCGGGAUGACGGCCUUCGGGUUGUAAACCGCUUUCGCCUGUGACGAAGCGUGAGUGACGGUAAUGGGUAAAGAAGCACCGGCUAACUACGUG